rnacentral:tRNA from 1 species
UCUGACUUAGUUUAAUAGAAAAUAUUACGUUGUGGGUGUAAAGAUAGACGGUGUUUAGUUAGAA